rnacentral:tRNA from 1 species
GGUGGCUCAGAGGUUAAGAGCACUGGCUGCUCUUCCAGAGGUCCUGAGUUCAACUCUCAGUAACCA